ACGCACGCUGGCGGCGUGCUUAACACAUGCACGUCGAACGGAAAGGCCCUGCUUUUGUGGGGUGCUCGAGUGGCGAACGGGUGAGUAACACGUGAGUAACCUGCCCUUGACUUUGGGAUAACUUCAGGAAACUGGGGCUAAUACCGGAUAGGAGCUCCUGCUGCAUGGUGGGGUUGGAAAGUUUCGGCGGUUGGGGAUGGACUCGCGGCUUAUCAGCUUGUUGGUGGGGUAGUGGCUUACCAAGGCUUUGACGGGUAGCCGGCCUGAGAGGGUGACCGGCCACAUUGGGACUGAGAUACGGCCCAGACUCCUACGGGAGGCAGCAGUGGGGAAUAUUGCACAAUGGGCGGAAGCCUGAUGCAGCAACGCCGCGUGCGGGAUGACGGCCUUCGGGUUGUAAACCGCUUUCGCCUGUGACGAAGCGUGAGUGGCGGUAAUGGGUAAAGAAGCACCGGCUAACUACGUG
rnacentral:rRNA from 1 species